UAGAGUUUGAUCAUGGGCUCAGGCAUGAACGCUGGCGGCGAUGCCUAAUACAUGCAAGUCGAGCGAAUGGAUUAAGAGCUUGCUCUUAUGAAGUUAGCGGCGGACGGGUGAGUAACACGUGGGUAACCUGCCCAUAAGACUGGGAUAACUCCGGGAAACCGGGGCUAAUACCGGAUAACAUUUUGAACCGCAUGGUUCGAAAUUGAAAGGCGGCUUCGGCUGUCACUUAUGGAUGGACCCGCGUCGCAUUAGCUAGUUAGGUGAGGUAACGGCUCACCAAGGCAACGAUGCGUAGCCGACCUAGAGAGGGUGAUCGGCCACACUGGGACUGAGACACGGGCCAGACUCCUACGUGGAGGCAGGCAAGUAGGGAAUCUUCCGCAAUUGGACGAAAGUCUGACGGAGCAACGCCGCGUGAGUGAUGAAGGCUUUCGGGUCGUAAAACUCUGUUGUUAGGGAAGAACAAGUGCUAAU
rnacentral:rRNA from 1 species